UGGUCCAUUUUUUAUAUGGACUUACUUCCUGUACUUGGGAAUUUUGACACAAUUUCACAUGCAUACAAGCCUAAUAAUUGCUACAUUUUCAUGGAUGAGUAUCUGCUCUUAAACCUUCUUUUGAAGGAGAUUAAAAUAAUGAUGCUAGAUAUUGGAGGCAAGUAAUUUCACUUUUUCUUGCGAAAUUCACCUCAUGUUUUGUUUUAACUUUGCAGGGCAAACACAAAAGUCUAUGCAGUCUACCAGAUAAUACGAAAUUCUUUUGCAGAAAGUUGGGAUUGACAUGCAAGGUCUUGGUGCUCCUGAGAUACUUCAAAAUUUUCACUCCCAUCCGAGAUGCUAGGUGUAUGAGAGUGAUUUAUGCCUUCUUCUGUC